rnacentral:rRNA from 1 species
UACGGAGGGUGCAAGCGUUAUCCGGAUUUACUGGGUUUAAAGGGAGCGUAGGAGGGCAGGUAAGUCAGUGGUGAAAUCUUCGAGCUUAAACUCGGAAACUGCCGUUGAUACUAUCUGUCUUGAAUAUCGUGGAGGUUAGCGGAAUAUGUCAUGUAGCGGUGAAAUGCUUAGAUAUGACAUAGAACACCCAUUGCGAAGGCAGCUACUACGACAUGAUACUGAGGCACGAAAGCGUGGGGAUCAAACAGG